AGUCACUGCAUAUCCCAUCCUCUCUCUCUGAGGCAAGAGGGAAAAAUCUCUCUGCAGCACUAUCAGGAAGACUCACUUCUGUAUGGGUGUCUGUCAUGCACCUUGUUCCCUCAAAGAAUAUCCAGGAUUUUACCUUGCUUAAUUGCCCCCUGAAGACAUGAGCAAUUAUCAGAUUGUCUCUUCUGAUGAGAAGACAGCACCAGUAGCAAAUUGAACCUGUCAGUUUCUGUGAGGAGUGAAUCUGAUACGUUCACACUCUGAGAAAUGAAAGAGGGAAGAGGGGAAAGGAGAAGGUGUAGCAUGGAGAAUGAAAGAAACCUACAAUGCUGAUGACAACUGCAACUUUCUGCUUCCAGGGUCUCUCCACAUAAGUGAUACAUUUUGUGUCCCUCCUGUAAGCCGUUACUUACUAACUACCCAAUUACUUUAUUAUGAGUCACUGGUAAAAAUGCCUUAGAGUUUUCAGCAAACUCUAGUUUAAAGUCAAUGGUUUCUUGAUUCAAAAUUAUUUAUUAAAUAAAAUAUUUCACGGUCAUGUCUUGGGUGUAAUGCAAAUUUUUAGUAGAGUUAUAUAAUAAGGCAAUUAUGUAGUUAGUAAUACAUUUGCCAAU